CUGGAUGAGUUGCGAACGGGUGAGUAACGCGUAGGUAACCUGCCUGGUAGCGGGGGAUAACUAUUGGAAACGAUAGCUAAUACCGCAUAACAGUAGAUGUUGCAUGACAUUUGCUUAAAAGGUGCAAUUGCAUCACUACCAGAUGGACCUGCGUUGUAUUAGCUAGUUGGUGGGGUAACGGCUCACCAAGGCGACGAUACAUAGCCGACCUGAGAGGGUGAUCGGCCACACUGGGACUGAGACACGGCCCAGACUCCUACGGGAGGCAGCAGUAGGGAAUCUUCGGCAAUGGACGGAAGUCUGACCGAGCAACGCCGCGUGAGUGAAGAAGGUUUUCGGAUCGUAAAGCUCUGUUGUAAGAGAAGAACGAGUGUGAGAGUGGAAAGUUCACACUGUGACGGUAUCUUACCAGAAAGGGACGGCUAACUACGUGCCAGCAGCCGCGGUAAUACGUAGGUCCCGAGCGUUGUCCGGAUUUAUUGGGCGUAAAGCGAGCGCAGGCGGUUAGAUAAGUCUGAAGUUAAAGGCUGUGGCUUAACCAUAGUACGCUUUGGAAACUGUUUAACUUGAGUGCAAGAGGGGAGAGUGGAAUUCCAUGUGUAGCGGUGAAAUGCGUAGAGAUCUGGAGGAAUACCGAUGGCGAAGGCAGCCAUCUGGCCUAAUACUGACGCUGAGGUACGAAAGCAUGGGGAGCAAACAGGAUUAGAUACCCUGGUAGUCCAUGCCGUAAACGAUGUCUACUAGCCGUUGGGGCCUUUGAGGCUUUAGUGGCGCAGCUAACGCGAUAAGUAGACCGCCUGGGGAGUACGGUCGCAAGACUAAAACUCAAAUGAAUUGACGGGGGCCCGCACAAGCGGUGGAGCAUGUGGUUUAAUUCGAUGCAACGCGAAGAACCUUACCUGGUCUUGACAUAGUAAGAACUUUCCAGAGAUGGAUUGGUGCCUUCGGGAACUUACAUACAGGUGCUGCAUGGCUGUCGUCAGCUCGUGUCGUGAGAUGUUGGGUUAAGUCCCGCAACGAGCGCAACCCUUUUCCUUAUUUGCCAGCGGGUUAAGCCGGGAACUUUAAGGAUACUGCCAGUGACAAACUGGAGGAAGGCGGGGACGACGUCAAGUCAUCAUGGCCCUUACGACCAGGGCUACACACGUGCUACAAUGGUCGGUACAAAGGGUUGCUACCUAGCGAUAGGAUGCUAAUCUCAAAAAGCCGAUCGUAGUCCGGAUUGGAGUCUGCAACUCGACUCCAUGAAGUCG
rnacentral:rRNA from 1 species